rnacentral:rRNA from 1 species
AGAGGUAAUAAUGUUGAUAUGAGUAACAAGAAAUAAUUUCUCCUUGCAUACGUGUAUAUCAGAACGGAUAAGCCACUGAUAGUUAUCAAAAUUAAUAUAAUUACCAACAAGUACAUAACAUUAAUUGUUAAUCCCACACAGGGGUGCUAACCAAAAGAAGUAAAAGGAACUCGGC